rnacentral:rRNA from 1 species
UACGGAGGGUGCAACCGUUGCUCGGAAUCAUUGGGCGUAAAGCGCACGUAGGCGGACCGCUAAGUCGGAUGUGAAAGCCCUCGGCUUAACCGAGGAAGUGCAUUCGAAACUGACGGUCUUGAGUAUGGAAGAGGGUCGCGGAAUUCCCGGUGUAGAGGUGAAAUUCGUAGAUAUCGGGAGGAACACCAGUGGCGAAGGCGGCGACCUGGGCCAAUACUGACGCUGAGACGCGAAAGCGUGGGGAGCGAACAGG